UGGUCUGUUGAUAUCACUUGUAAAAACCAUCAUUCGGGACUGAAUGGUAUUAACUUGAUGUUAUUCUGCAAUUCUGAGGCCU